AACGAACGCUGGCGGCAGGCCUAACACAUGCAAGUCGAGGGGUAGCAGGAUUAAGCUUGCUUAAUUGCUGACGACCGGCGCACGGGUGCGUAACGCGUAUGCAACCUACCUUAUGCUGGGGUAUAGCCCGGAGAAAUUCGGAUUAAUCCCCCAUAGUACUAAUGAAUCGCAUGGUUUAUUAGUUAAAGCAUUGCGGUAUAAGAUGGGCAUGCGUCCUAUUAGCUAGAUGGUGAGGUAACGGCUCACCAUGGCUACGAUAGGUAGGGGGCCUGAGAGGGUGGUCCCCCACACUGGUACUGAGACACGGACCAGACUCCUACGGGAGGCAGCAGUGAGGAAUAUUGGUCAAUGGGCGCAAGCCUGAACCAGCCAUGCCGCGUGCAGGAAGAAUGCCCUAUGGGUUGUAAACUGCUUUUAUUUGGGAAUAAACCUCUUUACGUGUAGAGAGCUGAAGGUACCAAAUGAAUAAGCACCGGCUAACUCCGUGCCAGCCGCCGCCGUAA
rnacentral:rRNA from 1 species